GUAGUCAUAUGCUUGUCUCAAAGAUUAAGCCAUGCAUGUCUAAGUAUAAACACGUUAUACUGUGAAACUGCGAAUGGCUCAUUAAAUCAGUUAUAGUUUAUUUGAUGGUUUUUGCUACAUGGAUAACUGUGGUAAUUCUAGAGCUAAUACAUGCGUACAAGCCCCGACUUCUGGAAGGGGUGUAUUUAUUAGAUAAAAAUCAACACUGUUGGUGAAUCAUGAUAACUUCUCGGAUCGCAUGGCCUCGUGCUGGCGAUACUUCAUUCAAAUAUCUGCCCUAUCAACUGUCGAUGGUAGGAUGGAGGCCUACCAUGGUUGCAACGGGUAACGGGGAAU
rnacentral:rRNA from 1 species